rnacentral:SRP_RNA from 1 species
GCUGGGCGCGGUGGCUCACGCCUGUAAUCCCAGCACUUUGGGAGGCCGAGGCUGGAGGAUCGCUUGAGCCCAGGAAUUCUAGACUAGCCUGGGCAACAAAGUGAGACCCCGUCUCUA